GAUGAACGCUGGCGGCGUGCCUAAUACAUGCAAGUCGAGCGAACGGACGAGAAGCUUGCUUCUCUGAUGUUAGCGGCGGACGGGUGAGUAACACGUGGAUAACCUACCUAUAAGACUGGGAUAACUUCGGGAAACCGGAGCUAAUACCGGAUAAUAUUUUGAACCGCAUGGUUCAAAAGUGAAAGACGGUCUUGCUGUCACUUAUAGAUGGAUCCGCGCUGCAUUAGCUAGUUGGUAAGGUAACGGCUUACCAAGGCAACGAUGCGUAGCCGACCUGAGAGGGUGAUCGGCCACACUGGAACUGAGACACGGUCCAGACUCCUACGGGAGGCAGCAGUAGGGAAUCUUCCGCAAUGGGCGAAAGCCUGACGGAGCAACGCCGCGUGAGUGAUGAAGGUCUUCGGAUCGUAAAGCUCUGUUAUUAGGGAAGAACAUAUGUGUAAGUAACUGUGCCCAUCUUGACGGUACCUAAUCAGAAAGCCACGGCUAACUUCGUG
rnacentral:rRNA from 1 species